AAAUUUUUCUUCUAGUCCUGCAACAUGUUCCCAUCUGUCAUGAGCCUCGACUUCUUCUUUCAUUGCGUUAGGAGUAGGAUUAUUUAGGGUUGACUCUUGCUUCUUGCACAAAGUGUCAUAGGCUUCUCUUGUCUUCUUAACCAAGUUUCCAAGUCUCUCUUUUGCCAAGUUUCGAAGUAAGGGUUUUAAACUCUUUAGCUUUUUGGAGAACCGAAACAGUGAAGAGGUAGAUAAAAAGAUUGGCUCUGUUUCUUUCCAGUAGGAAUCUACUGUAGGCUUGAAAUCCUCCAUUUCAGUAAGAACAUUCACAAAUUUGAAAGGUCUCUUUCCCCUAACAAUACUGCCUGGACCAUCAUUUAAGUUUAUUCGGCCUCGUAGGUGGUCUAAACAUCCUCCAGCUUCAAACACACUAUAAGAUUGAGGAAAACUCUGAGUCCAAACAUCAUUCACCAUGACCCUGUCCAACUUCUUGGCAAUGAGAUCAUGUUCUCUUUUGUUUGACCAUGUGUAAAGUGGACCAUGAUGAGCCAUGUCCGUAAGAGAACAAUAAUUCACCAUCGAUCUAAAGUCACGCAUGCCCAUUGAAACCACAGGAUUAUCCUCCACUUUUGAAUGCUCUUCUAGUUCUAACGUCUCAUUAAAAUCUCCAAAAAUAAUCCAAGGCUUCUUCUUAAUGAUAGGAGA
rnacentral:sRNA from 1 species